CUGGUGACAACUUUAGGCUUCACCCAAGUGCAGUCCGUCCCACUCUGGGCUCCCAGUUCCGGGAGAUGAGGGGCUCCCCGACUGUGGAGUUCUCUAGAUGUGGGAGAAUAGUGAUGUCCCCACGGCUAGACAUCAUUUGUCACCUCAAAGUGCAAAGAAGCCACAAGCCAUCAGGAUGAGCACUGUCUGGUUGGUCCACGGAAGUCAUUCCCAAGGGCAAGGUGCACUCAUCUAAUGACUUUGUGAAUGCCGUUAUGUCUCAGACACUACUCUCACCACUGAGAGUAAGAGAUGAACAAGGGGCGCCUGGGUGGCUCAGUCGUUAAAGCGUCUACCUUCGGCUCAGGUCACGAUCCCAGGGUCCUGGGAUCGAGUCCCACAUUGGGCUCCCUGCUCGGCGGGAAGCCUGCUUCUCCCUCUCCCACUCUCCCUGCUUGUGUUCCCUCUCUCGCUGUGUCUCUCUCUGUCAAAUAAAUAAAUAAAAUAUUUUUUCAAAAAAGAGAGAGAUGAGAAAGACAGGACCUUGGGGCUGGUUUUGUUGGAAGGGUUGUGGGUGAGGAUCAGAUUUCUGGCUGAGGUCCCUGUGCAGAUGAUGGACUUGCUCCUUGCCAUGGGGAACACCUGUGGAGAAGCAGGUUUACGUGGAAGUCAAGGCUAUCAGUUUUGGACACAUCGAUGGGGCCUUCUGGUAGAUAUCCAGGGAGAGAACAGGCUGGAGGUGGUCAACUGGCCCCCUGCUUGCACCCCACACCCUUCCCGCCCGGCCGCGGUGCCGGCCACAGCUCUGCUCAGGAUCUGCAAGCACCUCCCAACUCCAGGUGAAACACCUCGAUUACUACGCAUUAUGUUGCAGUACACAUGGGGGGGGGGCAUAGACAUCCCUGCAAGGUCCACGAUCCUGUUUUCACUGGUUCCAGAUAUAGCCUCAGAAGCGGAUUGCUGGAUCAUACAGUGAUUCUACUUCUAGUUUUCUGAGGACCUUCCAUACUGGUUUCCGGAGUGGCUGCACCAGUCUGCAUUCCCAUCAACCCUGGGACGAGAUGCCGGAGGACCAGCCCCUCUGAUGCCAGAGGCGUCCUUCAGUGUAGGAGGGGUCCCCUUUCUCUGCAUCCUCGCCAACAUCUGUUGUUUCUUGUGUUACUAAUUUUAGCCAUUCUGACUGGGGUGAGGUGAUAUCUCACCCUUGAAUAAUGUGGAACUUAGAGCCUCUGACUUCUGCAUUGUUGAAAGUCUGCAUGUGCCUUCUGACUCCCCAUAACUUAACUACCAAUAACCCAUAGUUGACAGGAAGCCUUACCGAUUACAUAAACAUUCGGUGAUCACAUAUUUUGUAUGUUAUGCGCAUCAUACACUGCGUUCUUACAAGAAAGUAAGCUAGAGAAAAGAAAAUGUCAUUCAGAAAGUCCCAAGGGAGAGAAAAGACACUUACAGUAGCAGUAUUUAUUGAAAAAAAUCCACAGCUGUUCAAACCUGCAUUCUUCAAGGGUCAACCAUAUACUAAUUACCUUGAGGACAUUAUGGGAUGAUGUGAGAUAAGUCAGAGAAAGACAAAUACUGUGUACUCUCAUUUACUGUGGAAUCUAAAAAAGCCAAACUUGUAAAAACAAAGAGUAAAGUGACGGUCAUCAGGGGCUGGGAGGCAUGGGACAAGGAGAUGAUGUGGGACGACCUUGGCAUCAGCAGUAAAUAAAUCCUGGAGAUCUAAUGCACAGUACAGUGAACACAGGCCCCAAUGCUGUAUCCUAACCAUUAUAGCUGCUAAGAGACCAGAUGCUUAUUACUCCCAGCACAAUAAAAAGCAAUGAUAAGGGGCGCCUGGGUGGCUCAGUUGGUUGAGCGACUGCCUUCGCUCAGGUCGUGAUCCUGGAGUCCCGGGAUCGAGUCCUGCAUCGGGCUCCCUGCUCGGCGGGGAGUCUGCUUCUCCCUCUGACCCUCCCCCCUCUCGUGUGCUCUCUCUCAUUCU